ACCAGCAAAGUGUGCUCUCUAGGGGAGAGAAAGAAAUCAUUCUGCACCCAAAUGAUCACUCCUGGAUGACGGAUCCACGCUCAGUGAAGGCUGGCAAGACUGAAAACCGCUUCCUGCUUGCACUGAAUCUCUGAGGCCAGUAACAAUAAGAACAUCAGCCUUGGGUCUGACAAUGAUAAAUGAAGUGAUGAAGAAUGAAAGGCAUGUUUAAGGCAAUUACACAUGGGAGCUGUUCAAAGAGGAUCUAGGAAUUUUACUGGCAUUUGUCUUUGGCUGGACAAUGCUGUUAGCCUCUCCCUUCCACGCUCAACUUCUAACGCCUGCAAGGGGUCAAUCAGAGUGAAUCAGGCUUAGUCAGUGUCUAGUAUACUUUAAUGAGAUUUUCCAUGUGCUCCGUUUCACCUGCCUCAUGCCAUUGGGCUGUUCAGCUAAUAGCCUCUUGCCUGACCAGAAGUUACAGGAUGCAUGAGAGCUGGAUAUGACAUUGCUACAGCAAAGAUCAUUCUGGGAUGGACUGCUUGUAUGAGCAUAUGCACUGCUGGUGCUCAGGUCUGAGCAUAGGGAAGGGUCUGCUUUGAUAAAUCAGAGUACAUUCCAGGGGUAGAGGUGAGAGAGUUCGUAAAAGGGAUUUUCAUCUUCUUUGAGUGCAGGGGGCCCAGGUGAUACCUUUACUUGGUGGAUCAAGAUGAGAGGGUGUGAUAUAAAACCUUAGGGGCCCACCCAGCUGGUAGUCUGUCUCUACACCUUGGUUGUAGCUCUUCAGAAGUGUCCAGCGGAUCCCUUUAAGCCAUUCAGACCUUUUUCCCUAGCAUACAAAUUCUACCUGUGACCUGCCUCCCAGAUACCUCCGGCUUAGUCAAGAGCCUUUCCAUGGGAAAACAGUUACCCUGAUGUCUGACAACACCUCCUUUUUCAACAAAGAAUUACUUGUUGUCACUGCAGGAUUUAAGCUCCUCUUUGCUGAUACCAUCUUAAGAAUGUAUGAAACACUUUACCUUUAAGUCAGUUCAAAAAGACAGAGCAGUCCAAAUUGCAAGACAAGAAAGAGAAAUGAUAACACUAUCAGAUGAACUCUACCUCUUCAUCAGAGGACUAGGCUAAUAUAAAAUAGUUCAAAAACUCCACAUCAGAAUAAAAAAGAACAUAAAACUAUCAAAAAAAAAGUUCUGGGAUAAGAGGGAUAGGAAAAAGUAUUAAAAUAUGGGGGUCAGGUAGUUUAGGCCUGAAGGGUAGGCAAAAGAAAGGCACAGUGGCACCUUAGAGACUAACUGGUUCAGAGAGUCAUGAGCUUUUCUAGGUAACCACCUAUUUUGUUAGAUGCUAUGAAUAGACUACUGGUUGUCGCUUAAGAAAAUGCAUGGCUUUCUGAACCAGUUAGUCUAACGUAUCACCCUGCUCUACCUUCUGCUUGACUUCAGACUUCAGCCCAACACUGUGAUUUUGGGGUAGGAAAACAGACAACGUGUUAUAAAACCUACAGUCAAAAGAAAUCAUUUGCACUUUUAGCAUUUUGUAAGGGAAAUAAUUGGCUUGGACUGAACCCAUCCCUGGGAGUGUUUGCAAACCAAACAUUGCAGGGUUGGCAAGUACUUGAAAAUCAAAACUUGAAACUGAUCUAAAACAAAAGCAAAACUGACUGGUCUAUGACCAUCGAUGCAGAAAGAAACCAUUUUAAUUAUCCUGGGGAUUAUGGAUACCACAGCUGAAUAAAUCAUUUUUUAAAAAACAUCUAGUAUAAAAACUAGUUUAAAAACUAGUGAUGCGCUUUUCUGUUGAAUAAGAAUGUAAAUAAAAAAUAGAACCAAAAACACAAAUAAAAGUGGGUUAAACCUGGAAAUGUCUUUCAAAACCUUCCUAGUCACACUGAAUAAUUCUGUUUUACAAAGUUUACAUUUAUGUUUUGUUUGCCACUGAAGUGUCUGAGACUCCAUAUUCAGCCACAUAUAGCAUAGACAGAGCCUAGCAUUAGCCACCUGCUGAAGUUUUAGAUACACGCAGGUAUUUUUCAGAGCACUUACAGAGAUUACCGCUCAGUUGCUGGCAGACAGUGUAAAGUGUCUUACGUUUCUCAGCUGCAGGUUGGCUGCUGUAAUCAACAGGAGACAACACCCAGUUUAAUUGACUGUAAGGGUGUUUACAUAAUGCUAAUAAUAUUCGGCAACACUUACAUAAUACUUUAGAGAUCUUUUUAAAAAAUA